GCUCAGGAUGAACGCUGGCGGCGUGCUUAACACAUGCAAGUCGAGCGAAGCACUUAAGUUUGAUUCUUCGGAUGAAGACUUUUGUGACUGAGCGGCGGACGGGUGAGUAACGCGUGGGUAACUUGCCUCAUACAGGGGGAUAACAGUUAGAAAUGGCUGCUAAUACCGCAUAAGACCACAGUACUGCAUGGUACGGUGGUAAAAACUCCGGUGGUAUGAGAUGGACCCGCGUCUGAUUAGGUAGUUGGUGAGGUAACGGCCCACCAAGCCGACGAUCAGUAGCCGACCUGAGAGGGUGACCGGCCACAUUGGGACUGAGACACGGCCCAGACUCCUACGGGAGGCAGCAGUA
rnacentral:rRNA from 1 species